GCGCUCCGUCCCGCCCCCCCCCGGCCGCGUGCGUGCGCACGCGCGCUGAGCCCCCGAGGCGUCCGGGUGUGCGGGGGGCGCGCGCGCGCGCGCGCGGCUGGGAGGCGCACCUGUGAGGUGUCCCCGGAGGAGGAGCGGCGGGGUGGGUGCGCGGAGCCCGCGGCCCGGGGCGCCGACGCCCCUCACUUGGACGCCGGGUCCGGCAGAGGCCACGAGCAUCCCGCGCAGGUGAUGAGGAGCCCUGGGCGCACGGGGCCACCGCCGCCGGACGUCUCCAUUGUUUGACCGCAGCGAGGGCCGCUUCUCGGGCAGGUGCUGCCCACGAGAGAUCCCCACCAGAGCCCACAGAGCUGCAUCCUGCACAGCACGGCUGGUGUGCCGGGCACGAGGACGUCCUGUUGGGAGG